AUUGAACGCUGGCGGCAUGCCUUACACAUGCAAGUCGAAUGGCAGCACGGGAGCAAUCUUGGUGGCGAGUGGCGAACGGGUGAGUAAAGUAUCGGAACGUGCCCAGUCGUGGGGGAUAACGUAGCGAAAGUUACGCUAAUACCGCAUACGAUCUAUGGAUGAAAGCGGGGGAUCGCAAGACCUCGCGCGAUUGGAGCGGCCGAUAUCAGAUUAGGUAGUUGGUGGGGUAAAGGCUCACCAAGCAGACGAUCUGUAGCUGGUCUGAGAGGACGACCAGCCACAGUGGGACGGAGACACGGACCAGACUCCUACGGGAGGCAGCAGUGGGGAAUUUUGGAAAAUGGGCGAAAGCCUGAUCCAGCCAGGCCGCGUGCAGGAUGAAGGGCUUCGGGUUGUAAACUGCUUUUGUACGGAACGAAAAGGUUUGGCCUAAUAAGCUGAGCUCAUGACGGUACCGUAAGAAUAAGCACCGGCUAACUACGUGCCAGCCGCCGCCGUAA
rnacentral:rRNA from 1 species